AAAAUCAACCGAUCAGCAUACCCGGUACUCUCUCAGUUAGCGGCUGAUGUAUUGGCCAUUCCUAUCACUACCGUCGCAUCUGAGGCCACCUUUAGUGCUGGAACUAGGGUGAUUGAUUCAUACCGUGCUUCACUUGCUCCGGAGACAGUCCAGACGUUAAUGUGUGCAGGCGAUUGGUGUAGAAAUUUACACGGGGUCAAAAAGAAAUUGAAACCACAGAAAGCUCUCAAAGAAUAUGAGCUGCCCAAUGCUUGAAGUUGUGUAAGGAGCAACUACUUUGCUGAAAAUCAGGUGUUGUAGAUUGUACACCGAAGUUUGAAGAUGCAUAAGGAGCAAACAAGCUGUUUCAUUUACCAGAUUACAAACAAGAGCUUCUAAAUGCUCAUUAGACUCCAGAAAAUUUCCCUAAGUUUUUCCUUUCAAUUGGCUGCAGCACUCCUUUUUGUAUUUUCGUGAAAUUCUGAUGAGGUUGAGAACAGGUUGUUGCUUAUGUUUAA